UACGUAGGGGGCAAGCGUUGUCCGGAUUUAUUGGGCGUAAAGAGCGUGUAGGCGGCUGGGUAGGUCCGUUGUGAAAACUCGAGGCUCAACCUCGAGACGCCGAUGGAAACCCCCCAGCUAGAGUCCGGAAGAGGAGUGUGGAAUUCCCGGUGUAGCGGUGAAAUGCGCAGAUAUCGGGAAGAACACCCGUGGCGAAGGCGGCACUCUGGGACGGUACUGACGCUGAGACGCGAAAGCGUGGGGAGCGAACAGG
rnacentral:rRNA from 1 species